AUUGAACGCUGGCGGCAGGCCUAACACAUGCAAGUCGAGCGGAUGAAGGGAGCUUGCUCCUGGAUUCAGCGGCGGACGGGUGAGUAAUGCCUAGGAAUCUGCCUGGUAGUGGGGGAUAACGUCCGGAAACGGGCGCUAAUACCGCAUACGUCCUGAGGGAGAAAGUGGGGGAUCUUCGGACCUCACGCUAUCAGAUGAGCCUAGGUCGGAUUAGCUAGUUGGUGGGGUAAGGGCCUACCAAGGCGACGAUCCGUAACUGGUCUGAGAGGAUGAUCAGUCACACUGGAACUGAGACACGGUCCAGACUCCUACGGGAGGCAGCAGUGGGGAAUAUUGGACAAAGGGCGAAAGCCUGAUCCAGCCAUGCCGCGUGUGUGAAGAAGGUCUUCGGAUUGUAAAGCACUUUAAGUUGGGAGGAAGGGCAGUAAGUUAAUACCUUGCUGUUUUGACGUUACCAACAGAAUAAGCACCGGCUAACUUCGUG
rnacentral:rRNA from 1 species